UUCUGAAGCUAUGCAGGGCUGAGCCUGGUCAGUACCUGGAUGGGAGACCACAUGGAAUAACUAGGUUGCUAUUGGAA
rnacentral:rRNA from 1 species